GCCCUAGAAAAUAUCUAAGGUGUAACCUGCCCAGUGAUUUUAAACUAAAAAUAUAUAAAAAUUAUUUAAAAAAAUUAAAAGGACGCGGUAACCUUGACCGUGAUAAUGUAGCAUAAUCAUUCGCCAUUUAAUUGAUGGAUAGUAUGAAUGGUUGAACGAAUAUUUCACUGUCUUAAAAAGAAAUACUUAAAAAUUAGAAUAAUAGUAAAGAUACUAUUUAAUACUGUAAGACGAAAAGACCCUAUAGAGCUUAACUAUAAUCUUUUUAUAUUAAAAGAAAAGAAAAUUCUAAAAACAGAAAGAUUGGUAGUUUAGUUGGGGCGACUAUCUUUUAAAAAAAACAAAGAUAAGCAAAAGUAAAUAAAAAAUACUUAUUGUAUAAUAAAUAUAUUUAACAGUUAUAAAAAUAGGCUAUAAUGACCCGUUAUUAUUAAGUAAUAAAUAUAACGAUUAAUAAAUAAAAGCUACCUUAGGGAUAACAGGAUAAUUUUAUUUUAGAGACCUAAUCGAAAAUAAAGUUUGUCACCUCUAUGUUGAAUUAAGAUAUCCUAGUAAUGCAGGAGUUACUAAAGGUGGGUCUGUUCGACCCUUAAAAUCUU
rnacentral:rRNA from 1 species